UACGUAGGCAGCGAGCGUUGUUCGGAAUUACUGGGCGUAAAGAGUGUGUAGGCGGUGCUCUAAGUUCGGUGUGAAAUCUCCUGCUUAACUGGGAGGGUGCGCCGGAAACUGGAGUGCUCGAGCGUGGGAGAGGAAAGCGGAAUUCCUGGUGUAGCGGUGGAAAUGCGUAGAUAUCAGGAGGAACACCUGUGGUGUAGACGGCUUUCUGGGACCAUAGCUGACGCUGAGACACGAAAGCGUGGGUAGCAAACAGG
rnacentral:rRNA from 1 species